rnacentral:lncRNA from 1 species
AGAGACACCUUCCCUCUGUAGGCCUAAGAAAUUACUGCAAGAACAAGAUGAACUUCUGCUGGACUUGAGUGCCCAUUGGAAAGGAAUGCCCAUGUUGACCACAGUGCCAUUACAUCAGACAUUCACUCGUUCACCUACACAAGAAACAAGACUUAGUUUCAUCAGCUCUGUCUACUUCACAGUGUAUCUGUAAUGAAGUUGGAUUCAGUUCAAGGAAUACACAGGAAG